rnacentral:rRNA from 1 species
CGUAGGGUGCGAGCGUUGUCCGGAAUUACUGGGCGUAAAGAGCUCGUAGGCGGUUUGUCGCGUCGUCCGUGAAAACUCGGAGCUUAACUCCGAGCUUGCGGGCGAUACGGGCAGACUUGAGUACUACAGGGGAGACUGGAAUUCCUGGUGUAGCGGUGAAAUGCGCAGAUAUCAGGAGGAACACCGGUGGCGAAGGCGGGUCUCUGGGUAGUAACUGACGCUGAGGAGCGAAAGCAUGGGUAGCGAACAGGAUU